GACGAACGCUGGCGGCGUGCCUAAUACAUGCAAGUAGAACGCACAGUUUAUACCGUAGCUUGCUACACCAUAGACUGUGAGUUGCGAACGGGUGAGUAACGCGUAGGUAACCUGCCUGGUAGCGGGGGAUAACUAUUGGAAACGAUAGCUAAUACCGCAUAAUAUUGAUUAUUGCAUGAUAAUUGAUUGAAAGCUGCUAUUGCAUCACUACCAGAUGGACCUGCGUUGUAUUAGCUAGUAGGUGAGGUAACGGCUCACCUAGGCGACGAUACAUAGCCGAACUGAGAGGGUGAUCGGCCAAACUGGGAAUGAGAAAAGGCACAGAAUCCUACGGGAGGCAGCAGUAGGGAAUCGUCGGCAAUGGACGAAAGUCAGACCGAGCAACGCCGCGUGAGUGAAGAAGGUUUUCGGAUCGUAAAGCUCUGUUGUAAGAGAAGAAAGGGUGUGAGAGUGGAAAGUUCACACUGUGACGGUAUCUUAACAGAAAGGGACGGCUAACUACGUG
rnacentral:rRNA from 1 species